AAACCCUCCCAAACUCUCCCAGCCCUGCAGCACCCACGUGGGGGCCAGGCCUGAUGGACAAUUAAUAUUUUUAUCUGCUCCAUGUAUCAAAGCAACGGCGGGGGGGGAAGGAAAUACUCCUAAUUAGCCAAGUGCUCAGGGCGCUGAGCAAUCACGUCCCUCCCAUUUCCAGAGAAACCCAAUUUAGACUUUAAAAGCCCCCGCUCCCCGUUUCUCCUCAGUGUCUCAGCUCCUCAGCGUCUCCUCUCGAGCUCCUUCCGAUCCAGGUCUCCAACCAUGUCCUCCCGCCAGGACGAGGAACGGUCCUCCCAGCACAGCGGGGAAUCCCGUUGUGUCUGGGGCAUUGGCAGACCUGGUAGCCCCGGGAGAGGCAGCAGACCUGGUAGCCCCGGGAGAGGCGGCAGACCUGGUAGCCCCGGGAGAGGUGGCAGACCUGGUAGCCCCGGGAGAGGCGGCAGACCUGGUAGCCCCGGGAGAGGCAGCAGACCUGGUAGCCCCGGGAGAGGUGGCAGACCUGGUAGCCCCGGGAGAGGUGGCAGACCUGGUAGCCCUGGGAGAGGCGGCAAACCUGCUAGCCCCGGGAGCGGUGGCGGAUCUGGUAGCCCCGGGAGAGGUGGCGGAUCCAGUAGCCGUGGGAGAGGUGGUGGAUCUGGUAGCCAGGCGAGCGGUGGUGGAUCUGGUAGCCACACGAGCAGUGGUGGAUCUGGUAGCCAGGCGAGCAGUGGUGGAUCUGGUAGCCACACGAGCAGUGGCGGACCCGUUAGCCACGCAGACAGCGGCGGCUCCGUUAGCCACGCGAGCAGCGGCGGAGCUGGUUGUCAUAUGAGCAAUAGCGGAUUCAAUUUCCACGGGGGCAUAUCUGGCAGCCACGGGAGCAGCGGAUCCGGAUUCCACGGGGCCAGCAUAGCAUCCUGCCAUGGAAACACGGAGGUGUGCCUCCAGCACAUCCACCGAAAACCCUCCGAUGACAAGUGAUCACCCCACCAGCUGCAGGUGAUCCACAGGAGUGCCCUGGAUCCUGUGCCACCUUCCGAAAGCUUUGCAUGUGCCCAGGAAUUUCCAAUUUCCAAGGACAAUGUGUCCUUCCCUCCCCUGGUGUGUCCUGUAACCCGUCCUGAGCUUGUCUGUGGGUGCUGAAAUAAACGCUUUGCUCAGCUGGCA